rnacentral:rRNA from 1 species
AAUAUUUCACAAUGGAGGGAACUCUGAUGCAGUAACGCCGCGAGAGUGAAGAAGGUUUUCGGAUCGUAUAACUCUGUCAUUGGGGAAGUAUAAAUGACGGUACCCAAGGAGGAAGCCCCGGCUAACUACGUGCCAGAAGCCGCGGUAAUACGUAGGGGGCGAGCGUUGUCCGGAAUUACUGGGCGUAAAGGGUACGUAGGCGGCUAUAUAAGUCAGGUGUGAAAUACCAGUGCUUAACACUGGAAUUGCAUUUGAAACUGUGUAGCUUGAGUGCAGGAGAGGAAAGUGGAAUUCCUAGUGUAGCGGUGAAAUGCGUAGAGAUUAGGAGGAACACCAGUGGCGAAGGCGACUUUCUGGACUGUAACUGACGCUCAUGCACGAAAGCGUGGGGAGCAAAC